rnacentral:rRNA from 1 species
GACGAACCGUGCGAACGUUGUUCGGAUUCACUGGGCUUAAAGGGCGCGUAGGCGGGCGAGCGAGUCCGGGGUGAAAUCUUUCGGCUUAACCGGAAAAGGGCCUCGGAUACCGGUCGUCUAGAGGGAGGUAGGGGCAGCUGGAACUUCCGGUGGAGCGGUGAAAUGCGUUGAUAUCGGAAGGAACGCCGGUGGCGAAAGCGAGCUGCUGGACCUCAUCUGACGCUGAGGCGCGAAAGCCAGGGGAGCGAACGGG